rnacentral:rRNA from 1 species
UACAGAGGUCUCAAGCGUUGUUCGGAUUCAUUGGGCGUAAAGGGUGCGUAGGCGGCGCGGUAAGUCGGGUGUGAAAUCUCGGGGCUUAACUCCGAAACUGCAUUCGAUACUGCCGUACUUGAGGACUGGAGAGGAGACUGGAAUUUACGGUGUAGCGGUGAAAUGCGUAGAUAUCGUAAGGAAGGCCAGUGGCGAAGGCGAGUUCCUGGACAGUUACUGACGCUGAGGCACGAAGGCCAGGGGAGCAAACGGG